rnacentral:lncRNA from 10 species
GUUCUCGCAAGACCUGGUUGUUUAAAAGUGGGCGGCACCUUCCCCUUCGCUCUUCCUCCUGCUCCUGCCCUGGUAAGAAGUGCUGCUUCCCCUUUGCUUUCUGCCAUGAUUGUACGUUUCCUGAGGCCUUCCCAGCCAUGCUUCCUGUGUGGCCUGUGGAACGGGAUUCUCCCUGCCACAGAUGUGUCUGGAUGGUGACAGAUGGGAAUCUUCUCCAGUGACCAGAAUCCAUGCCUUACCUUGGGAGCCCAAGCUGACUUCUCAAGCUCUGGGGAUGCCUCAGUGAUCUCUGAUGUGGAAUUAGUGGAGGCUGGCCGUUGCUCACCUCUACACAGCCUGCUGGUCGUUAGCGAGCAGGAGUUCUGAUGUUCCUCUCAUCUUGGAUGUCUUUCCUAGGAGAAUAUUUCUCACGUGUUUGACAGAAAACAUUAUCUGUCCAUCAUUUCCAUGGAUUCCUGGGUCUCACGGGCAGAAGGACAAGGCAGAUAUGAGGCGGAUCUGGUAAAACCAUAAACACCAUGAGAUCAGAGCAUCCAUCUGUAGACUCACAGAGCAAGAAGCGUGACUGCCCCAAUCUUGAAUGGAUGAGUAAUCAGCUGCCGGGUCCACCACUUCUUAACUUCAGAACCGCAGGAAGCCGCGUCAGUCAUGGGGUUCAUUUUGCACACGACAGAUUUCAUGGUUGUCCUUCCUCCAAACCGAGGAACCUAGAUCUUCUCUGAUCUCUGAAAAAUAAGUUCCUGGAUAUGAAAGGGGAUACUUUCCUUGGUGGUAGUCCCAGUGAAGACCCACUGAACAUCGUCAGCCUCAAAAUGUAAGCUGUGCUGUCAUCUGCUUUGUGGAACACAUAUGCUACACAUCUUCUCCUUUCAAUUGGGCUGAAGUUGGGGCACAGUUAAAGAGCAUUAUAAAGCUCCUGCUUUAGCAUGAACUUAGUUAUCUAUAGAAAAAAACAUGUACAAGGACACUGGGCUGUGGGGAGCAUUGCUCUCCCUCCAUUCCUGAGUGCUCUUAAUGGGAUUAUCCUGGCUUUCCAAAACCCUAUAGAGAAGAAGCUCAUAGAAGAAAAUUCUCUUACUGAAUCAGUAAAAUAUGGAAAAUAAUGGGACUGUUUAUUAAAGGAUUGAAUGAGAGAACACAAGUAAUGCACUUAGAAGAGUGACUGGCAUACAGUGAGUACUACGUAAGUGUUUGUUGUUGUUGUUUGUUAUUGUAUGGAGGUAAAGCAGCUUGCCUAAAGCCAGUGACCGGCUCAGCUGCAAAGUGUGCUGAGAGAAAUCGGGGGCCUGUCCCUUUUUUGAGAACUUCGUGGCAUUUUCUGAAUGAUUGCAUCUGCCCACUCCCUCUUCAGUUGAAUACUUUUGCCCAUGUUUGAGCAUGCCUUGAGGCACACAGAAAGCCCUUGGAAAUUUCUCCCUCUUGCUGAAUCUUGUCUUUUUCAUAGGUGCUGGCUUCUCAACCAUGAUAGCCUGAAAUGUACCCGGAAAAUGGGGGCUAAUGUAAGUCAUAUUUAGAGAAGUUAUUUUGGGGGACAAUGUUUUUGACAAGACUACAUUUUUCAUUAUGUUGCUGUCUGUAAACAACUGUAGAUGCAGACUUGCAUUUUGAAAGGCAAGACCCAAAACACACAAACAGAGUAAAUACCUUUAAAAUGCCUCGAUCGCUGGAGAAAUGCCUGGAUGGACCUACCUGAGGGCAGACGCCACUGCCCAAAUUUCCUCUGGGGUUUCCCUGCGUCGGCUGCAUCUUGCCGACUUCCUCCUCGAUCCGACAGCGUGGGGCUCAGGAGCUGCUGCUGGCUGCUUGUCUGCAUGGGAGGAGAAGCACACAGUUACCGUCUUUUUAACCCUGCGCUCUCCUCCUUUUACUAUAAGAAAGGAAAACACAUGGCAGGAGGACAAGUGGGAAGAACAACAUGGACUCAGAGUGUCCACAAUGGGGAAAAGUGAAAAUGGGUAUAAAGGGUCACAGAAGAAAAAGAGCCACCACUGCACGCCCUGCUGAAGGAGACACCACUCUUCCUGGGACAUCUUGUCCUGGGUAACCCCCACUGCUUCGUUCCCCUCCAUGCCUGAGAAUGUCAUUGUUUCCCUUCAUAUCUUCGCUGGCAAACCAGGGGGUAAGGAAGGGGAACUGCAGGAAGGAAGGUGGGGCAGUGGGGACGGGCUGGGCGGGGGCAGUCUACUGUCACCAGCCUGGAGAUCCACACUUAGAGCUUCAGGGAAAGAGUUCUCUGCAGGCAAAGCUGUAUGAUGGGCCCUGGUGGAGGAUGGAGCUGAUAACAAUCUAAGCUACAGUGAAAGAAAGAGAGAUGCCAAGACUUCCCACACAUUUCACCUGUUCUCAGGUUCACCUGUCACCUCUCCCUUUCCUAACAAAAGCCUUGGUCUUCACAUCUCUUUAGUAUCCUUUUUUUUUUUUUUUUGUCACCUCUUUCUUUCUUAGGCUUUUUCAUCUAAAAACAGAGGGCUCUGAAAUCAUCACUUUCCCCAACCUCAUUAGCCCUGUCUCACUGUCUGUCCUGACUUCAGCCUGCCUCCCUCUCCCAUGCGAGACAUUGCCAACCAUCUUCAGGGUGACCAGUGGCAAGGCCACUGCAGAUGCCUCCCCUUGCCCCUUGGUUGACUAACUCCGCAGAAGUCCCUGCAGUCGGUGGCAGAUGAUUUCUAAAGGCUGGGGAGCCCAAAACAUGAGAUCUACUGAAAACUGAGCUAUGGCACCAGUGGGCCUCCUGGAGCACCCUGCUGGGCCGUGGAGCCUUAGGCUUCCAAAGGUACUCUGGCCCCUGGCUGCGUUGCUGCACACCAUGGAGCCUGGUGCUGCUGGGGGCUCUGCACAGAGCACGGGAUCAGCUCCACGUUGUUAACCUCAAAUCGUAAUUGCUGCCUCAUAAAGGGGCAGGUCCUCCCAGCCAGCUGCUUCUCACAGCACAGGACUCUCCAGGACGCUGAUAACUCCUUGUACUUUUUUAUAUAGACACAUACAUAGAGUUUGAAAAUGAAAAUAUGCUGUGACUUAAUAAAUAGAAACUCCUCAAGCCAAUUGUCCUGAAUUCCAUAUGUUCUUCUGAUACCCAACCAGGAAAGGAUAUAUCUUCAAUGAGUCUGAUUAUUUAAGGAGGUUGAAAGCUAAUUACAAACAUUUUCACUGAUUUUACUGCAAAUUUCUAUGACUUUAGAGAAGGGAGGAAAAUAUUUAGGGCAGAGCUUCCUGUAAACCAUACUCCAUGUAAUAUACCCAGAUUCAAAUGCAGCCCUUAGAGCUGAUGUUAACUCUUUAGACAAAAAUAAAACUACAGAAUUAUGAAGUUCAGGGCAUUCACUUUUUUUGGCAUUCAUAUGAGUCAGACUCUUUUUAAAUAACCUCAACUGCAUCCAAGAUGGCAAAGGCACUUCUUGAGCCACAUGCGGAUGGUCUGCUUGGCCACCUCCUCCUCUAUGGUGUACUCCAGCUGCUCCCUCGCCAGGAGUUCCUCCAGCUGCAAGCUCUUCCGGAUGUCCACGGACCGGUAUGAAAGCAUGCUGGUGGGAGAAACACACCUGCAAUCGCAGCUCUGAUUCACCUGAGAUUUACACCCUUAGAUACGUCAAAAUCCAGAGAGGACAUCACUCAGUCUAAUAAGUCUAGUGUUUUGACGCCACCCCUCGCCACCCGCAUGUCUUGGGCUGGUCCUGUCACCUCUCUGUGUCUCCCUUCCCUCGUCUGUAAAACAAAGAUGAUAGAUAGUCCUGGUAACUCCUUUAUUUAAUGACUAAGUGAGUUAAUAUCUGUGAGGCUCUUAUAGUAGUAAGUGCCAUCUAAGUGCCUGUAAAGCAAAAGAUCCAGGCUAGGAAAAGGCUCGCGACUUUCUCUGCAGAAGGAAGACCGCACCUCCCAUACUUUCUUCACACUUAGCCCCCCGAGGUGAUGGUUAAUAUGCUCGGCUGUGCGUCACACAUCCCUACUCCCUGCAUCCCACUUCCCUCUCUGUUUCUCUCAUUCAUCCUUCUGUAUCUUCCUUAUUAAUUAAUUUUUUCUUUUUUUGAGAUGGAGCUUCACUCUUGUUGACCAGGCUGGAGUGUAAUGGCGUGCUGUCAGCUCACUGCAACCUCCGCCUCCUGGGUUCAAGCAUUUCUUCUGCCUCAGCCUCCCAAGUAGCUGGGAUUACAGCUUCUGGCCACAAGCAUAUUUCUGUACACCUGAGUUCUCCUGAAAUUUGAGACACAACACAAUAUCCCACACACUCCUUGUAGGUACUGCUAUGUGAUUAAAAUAGCUACUGCUAGUCAGUCGCUCUUAUUUUUUUCUGUGGCAUGGACCCCUGUGGCAGUGGAGCUUAUGGGACAUUUCUUGAAAUAAUGCUUUAAAUGCACGGAAUGAAAUACACCGUAUUACAAAGGAAACCAAUUAUAUUAAAAUACAAUUCUCAAAUUUACUUUAAAACGGCAGUGAUAAAGUAACAUAAGUAAGUGCUUCCUUUAUUAUUCCAUUAAAUAAUACCAUCUAGCAGAGCUCAAAUGACUACCAUAACUCAGAAGCACUGGUGAGCAUAAAUGAUAUUUUAAGAUGUCAGUCAAGGCAGUCAGUUAUGUCAUCUGAAAAUAUCUAUGAUUUCUCCUGGUAACAAAGACAUGGAUAUUGCUAAUGCGACUGUGGUUUGUUGCCUACGUUCAUCAUGGAAGAGAAUGACACAUUUCAAAGAGUGAUUAGUGAAAAUAAAGAUGUAAUUGUUUCCCCCUUGCAAGUCCAUGGGCCUCUGUUUUAUCCAUGGACUCCUGCUUAAGAAGCUGUUAUGGGUUAAAUGUUUCCUCCCAAAAAAAGAUAUGUUGGAGUCCUAACCUCUAGUACCUCAGAACGUAAGGUUAUUUGGAAAUAGAACAUUGCAGAUGUAAUUAGUAAUUAAGUUAAAAUGAGAUCACAGUGGAGUAGAAUGGACUCCUAAUGUAAUACGACAGAUGUUCUUAUAAAAGGAGGAAUUUGAACAUAGAUACACACACACACACACACACACACACAAACAGAAUGCCAUGUGAAGAUGAAGGGAGACCAAGCUGAUGCUUCUACAAGCCAAGGAAUGACCAACAUUGGCAGCGCACCUCCAGCAGCCAGGGGAGAGGCUAGGCUAGAUUCUCCCUCACAGGCCUCAGAAGGAAUCAGCCCCGCAAUACCUCCAUCUCGGGCUUCCAGCAUCCAGGACUUCGAGACCAUACCUUUCUGUUGUUUAAAUCCCUCAGCUUAAGGUGCUAAGUUACAGUAGCCCAAGGAAACAAAUACAGAAGUCUCCCAGGAAGAAGAAAAGGCAGAGACUCCAUUUGACCCUCUGUCCUGUCUGGGCGCUCAUGAAAUGUCUGGAAAAUCUGGUGUUUUAGCCAACGGGGCAACCAUCACAGAGCAGGCCAGGCAAAUUCUCAUCAGACCCAUGCAAGUGAGGUGCUCUGCAUGUUAGUCCCAGCUUUGCCAGAGCCCUGUAACCGCAAGCAAGUCACUCAGCUCUUCUGGGCAGUUCCCGCAUCACAGGGAAGGGGUGGGACUGUGCUCUCCCAGAUCCCUUCCACCUCUCCCCUCGGGGUGCACCUCAGUGGGCAGGGGUCCCUACGGGACAUCAGGGCACAGCCGCCCAGCCCUCCCCUGCGAGGCACCUACUUGGAAAUGUUCACUGGAGGACGGCAGGAAAGGGCACUUAGCGCCUGGGACAUGUGACCCCACUUCACGACCACAGCAGAUGUGGCAUUUUGGGUUGGAAACACACUUGUUAAUUGUACUGCAGAGGCCUUGAAGGCUGACAGCUGUGGUUUCUGGCCCCCAUUCAGCCCUGCGAAAGCCUGCCUUGUACCUCAGGACAUCAUGGAAGGUGACGUCGCCGCCAUUGUGGAGCCUCUCCAUUUCGUAGCACAUGUGCUUAAACAGGAGCUUGUCCUUGUCCAGGUCCACCUCCAGCCUCCCACGCAGUAGCCGCAGCAGGAACUUGACGCGGAACGUGGGGAUCACCCCCUGCGGGGCAGAGCACAAGAAGUAGCAAAUCAUCAGGCCUCGAUGAUUCACUUGGGUUUCUCAAAAGAAAAAAAAAAAGGUGCUAUUUCUCAAAAGCUAGCAUAAUUAGCACCAGAUGUGAAGAAAGCUGGUCACCUCCUUGGAGCCUGGUAGAAUUAAGUGCACUAAGAAGAGCAGAGGAUAGAAAACUGAGUGAUAAAUUUCUGCUGGUGCUUCUCUUUCUGGGAUGUCACCACAUUGCAGCAUUUGGAGUGAGGCAUGGGAAGCUCCCCUUCAGCCCCCCAGGACCCUACUCUUGCUCUCACCAGGCUGAUGCUUGCAUAGCCUGUCCCACAGACGCCACCUCCAACACAUGCACUGAGUGGGCCAUAAUGUACUCACACAAGGUAAUGGACAAGACACACACGUGUAAUCCUCCUCUUCACUCAAUCGGGAUGCUAGGAACGUCUCAAUGUUUAUUACAUGUUUUUCUACCAUUAAAAGAUAACUCGUGUUGGAUCAUGCCUGUAAUCUCAGCACUUUGGGAGGC